rnacentral:rRNA from 1 species
GACGAACGCUGGCGGCGUGCCUAAUACAUGCAAGUAGAACGCUGACUACUUUAGCUUGCUAGAGUAGAAGGAGUUGCGAACGGGUGAGUAACGCGUAGGUAACCUGCCUACUAGCGGGGGAUAACUAUUGGAAACGAUAGCUAAUACCGCAUAACAGUGUUUAACACAUGUUAGAUGCUUGAAAGAUGCAAUUGCAUCACUAGUAGAUGGACCUGCGUUGUAUUAGCUAGUUGGUGGGGUAACGGCCCACCAAGGCGACGAUACAUAGCCGACCUGAGAGGGGGAUCGGCCACACUGGGACUGAGACACGGCCCAGACUCCUACGGGAGGCAGCAGUAGGGAAUCUUCGGCAAUGGGGGCAACCCUGACCGAGCAACGCCGCGUGAGUGAAGAAGGUUUUCGGAUCGUAAAGCUCUGUUGUAAGAGAAGAACGUGUGAGAGAGUGGAAAGUUCACACAGUGACGGUAACUUACCAGAAAGGGACGGCUAACUACGUGCCAGCCGCCGCGGUAA